UACGAAGGGUGCAAACGUUGCUCGGAAUUAUUGGGCGUAAAGGGCGCGUAGGCGGGAUGGCAAGUCGGUCGUGAAAUCCCUCGGCUCAACCGAGGAACGUCGAUCGAUACUGCUGUUCUUGAGGAUUGCAGAGGAGACUGGAAUUCCCGGUGUAGCGGUGAAAUGCGCAGAUAUCAGGAAGAACACCCGUGGCGAAGGCGGUUCUCUGGAACGCAACUGACGCUGAGACGCGAAAGCGUGGGGAGCAAACAGG
rnacentral:rRNA from 1 species